UACGUAGGGUGCAAGCGUUGUCCGGAAUUAUUGGGCGUAAAGAGCUCGUAGGCGGUCUGUUACGUCGGAUGUGAAAACCCGAGGCUUAACCUCGGGCCUGCAUUCGAUACGGGCAGACUCGAGUGUGGUAGGGGAGACUGGAACUCCUGGUGUAGCGGUGAAAUGCGCAGAUAUCAGGAAGAACACCGGUGGCGAAGGCGGUUCUCUGGGCAUUACCUGACGCUGAGGAGCGAAAGUGUGGGGAGCGAACAGG
rnacentral:rRNA from 1 species